rnacentral:rRNA from 1 species
UACGUAGGGUGCUAGCGUUGUCCGGAUUUAUUGGGCGUAAAGAGCUCGUAGGCGGUCUGUCACGUCGGCUGUGAAAUCCCGAGGCUCAACCUCGGGUCUGCAGUCGAUACGGGCAAACUAGAGUAUUGCAGGGGAGACUGGAAUUCCUGGUGUAGCGGUGAAAUGCGCAGAUAUCAGGAGGAACACCGGUGGCGAAGGCGGUUCUCUGGGCCUGUACUGACGCUGAGGAGCGAAAGCGUGGGGAGCGAACAGG